AUUGAACGCGGGCGGCAUGCCUUACACAUGCAAGUCGAACGGUAACGGGCCUUCGGGUGCCGACGAGUGGGCAACGGGUGAGUAAUGUAUCGGAACGUACCUUUCAGUGGGGGAUAACGUAGCGAAAGUUACGCUAAUACCGCCUAUUCUGUGCGCAGGAAAGCAGGGGAUCGCAAGACCUUGCGCUGCUUGAGCGGCCGAUAUCAGAUUGGCUAGUUGGUGAGGUAGAGGCGCACCAAGGAGACGAUCUGUAGCGGGUCUGAGAGGAUGAUCCGCCACACUGGAACUGAGACACGGUCCAGACUCCUACGGGAGGCAGCAGUGGGGAAUUUUGGACAAUGGGGGCAACCCUGAUCCAGCCAUGCCGCGUGAGUGAAGAAGGCCUUCGGGUUGUAAAGCUCUUUCGGCCGGGAAGAAAUCGUAUGGGUUAAUACCCUGUGCGGAUGACGGUACCGGCAUAAGAAGCACCGGCUAACUACGUGCCAGCCGCCGCGGUAAAAC
rnacentral:rRNA from 1 species